UAUUCAUAUUCCCACCACCCACAUUGUAAAAGUAACUAUUUUGUCAUAUUUGUUUCCUGUGUUUUCUUUCCCGUUCUUUUUUUUUUUUUUUUUUUGAGAUGGAGUUUCGCUCUUUUUGCCCAGGCUGGAGUGCAAUGGUGCAAUCUCGGCUCACCACAACCUCCGCCUCCUGGGUUCAAGCAAUUCUCCUAUCUCAUCCUCCCGAGUACAGGCGCCUGCCACCAUGCCUGGCUAAUUUUUUUUAUU
rnacentral:lncRNA from 1 species